GGCUUGACAUACCAUUGACAGGCGCAGAGAUGUGCUCUUCUUCGGACAAUGGAUACAGGUGGUGCAUGGUUGUCGUCAGCUCGUGCCGUGAGGUGUUGGGUUAAGUCCCGCAACGAGCGCAACCCCUAUUGCUAGUUACUAACAUUAAGUUGAGGACUCUAGUGAGACUGCCAGUGACAAACUGGAGGAAGGUGGGGAUGACGUCAAAUCAUCAUGCCCUUUAUGACCUGGGCUACAAACGUACUACAAUGGCCAAUACAAAGAGAUGCGAAGUUGUGAGAUGGAGCGAACCUCAAAAAAUGGUCUCAGUUCAGAUUGAAGUCUGCAACUCGACUUCAUGAAGGCGGAAUCGCUAGUAAUCGCGGGUCAGCAGACCGCGGUGAAUACGUUCCCGGGUUU
rnacentral:rRNA from 1 species